rnacentral:ncRNA from 2 species
UGAAUAAUUCUAGUGUUAGGUACCUCUAGAGGUUUAAUAAGGAAUCGGGUGCAAUUCCCGAGCGGUCCGGCCACUGUGAAUGACUAGUUAGUUUCCGAAAUACCACUGGAUUUUUCUGGGAAGGUGGAAACUAAUGUUAUUAGUCUAAGUCAGGAUACUUGCCUAACACUCAACUGAACA